ensembl:ncRNA lncRNA:CR44912 long non-coding RNA:CR44912
AGUGUUCAGUCUUCUGUCUUCUGUCUCAGCUGCGAUAUCUUGACUUUCUUCAAGUCUCUCUUCGAGCCAAAGCCACAGAGCUGUUACACAUUUGACUUUUCGGCGCUGCCGCAACUGGUUCGGUUUAUUUUUGGCUCUAAAUCUCGGACUAAGUCGCGGACUUCUCGAGACUGCAGCGCUGCUAAUGCAAAUCUAAAUUGAUUGCAAAAUGCUUAGAGUCCCGAGCAGACAAUCUUUCGAGUCGAUCGGCGUUGCCGGAUUGUUCGGCUUGUUCGAGUUAUAGGAGCUAGAUCGUUUUGAGAUAUGCCAAAGUGAGAGUUUAAUGAAAUCGAAGCACAAAAGUCAGGCUCUGCAGAUAACACACACAUGAGCUCCGUUUGACUCAUCGAUCUAUUUAAUAUUUUUAAAAAUUUUGUUUGUCCUUCAAAAUGUUUUAUUUGUUAUUUAGGCCUUGAUACUAUGAUUCCCCAAGCCUUACUCACCAUAUCAAUCAUACGCCUCGUGUGCCCAUCUGGCAACGCUAGCUGCCCAAAAUCCAUGCAGCAAACUCAAUUGAUGCCGCUGAUCUGGUUGUUGUUCUUGCCGCUGAUGUAAUUAAAAUAUUGCACUUGUUACUUUUACCAGCGGCUGUUCUGUCUCUUUCCCACAGCCUUUCUUCCCGUAUAUUGUGCUUGCCUCAGGAACACAAGUGCAACAAAACAAGCAGCCAAGGAGCAGAAAAAGCACAACAAGCACGCUGACAACAUCGACUUCAUCGUUCGCCGUGUGUCGUGUAUUAAAACUUGUUCAUUGGAAUUUUCUAAUAAAUCAAUAAACGCAGACAACACAGCGC